rnacentral:tRNA from 1 species
GUCGGGAUAGCUCAGCUGGUAGAGCAGAGGACUGAAAAUCUCGUG